AACGAACGCUGGCGGCAGGCUUAACACAUGCAAGUCGAACGCAUGCCUUCGGGCAUGAGUGGCAGACGGGUGAGUAACGCGUGGGAACCUACCCCUUGGUACGGGAUAGCUCCGGGAAACUGGAGAUAAUACCGUAUGUGUCCUGAGGGACAAAGAUUCAUCGCCAAGGGAUGGGCCCGCGUCGGAUUAGCUAGUUGGUGGGGUAACGGCCUACCAAGGCGACGAUCCGUAGCUGGUCUAAGAGGAUGAUCAGCCACAUUGGGACUGAGACACGGCCCAAACUCCUGCGGGAGGAAGCAAUUGUGAAUGUUGAACGAUGGGCGCGAGCAUGAGCUUGCCGUGCCGCGUGAGUGAUUUAUGCGCUAAGAUUGUAGAGCACUGUCACCGGUGACGAUAAUGACGGUAUCCAGAGAAGAAGCCACGGCUAACUUCGUG
rnacentral:rRNA from 1 species